UUACGGUCAUAUCACGUUGAAACAUUGGUUCACGUACGACCACCGAAGUUAAGCAACGUUGAGCCUGCUCAGUACCUAGUAGGGUGACCUCUUGGGAAUAGCAGGUGCUGUAAG